UGCAGUUAUCUAAAAAUAUAAAUUCUUGUGUUUUAUGCUUUUGAUUUUGGUGUGAAAUAUGGACCUGGACGUUUUCUGUUAGUGAGAUUUACCCAUAUGUACUAACCUGAGCAUGUUUAUAGCGGCUUAUCUUGACAUUGUCCAGGCCGUCUGAUGAUAUGUCACCUCUUCCUCAGAUGUGCAGCAUCCCGAACCUCAGCACCCGUCUGGACCUGCUGCUCACGAUGCGAGAGCUGCCCAUCUGUAUGGAGGACCUCACGCCGCUGAUUAUCCAGAAGAUCCACAUGUGCCAGCAGCUGUGGGCUUGUGACUCAUUUGUCAGCAUGCUGGAGUACCUUCUGGCCGUGGGCAAUUACCUCAACCAGAACGCAGGCAAGGACAGGGCCAAGGGAUUUCGCCUCUCGUCCUUAACUAAGCUUUCUCAGGUGCGCGGGAACAAUCGGAAGUUCACCUUGCUGCAUGCCCUUGUGGAGCAGAUCAUGUUGCGAGAACCACGUUUGGCCACCUUUUUCCUGGAGCUUGCAGAAUUUGAGACUGUUCCUGGAGCUUCAGUCAAAGGUCUGACAGCAGAGGUGGACGUAGUGAAGAAUGAAUUUCAGAAGAUCGUCCAGUACAGGAAAACAUACAGUAAAAGUAAAAACGAAGUCAAUCAGCAC
rnacentral:lncRNA from 1 species